GACGAACGCUGGCGGCGUGCUUAACACAUGCAAGUCGAACGGAAAGGCCCUGCUUUUGUGGGGUGCUCGAGUGGCGAACGGGUGAGUAACACGUGAGUAACCUGCCCUUGACUUUGGGAUAACUUCAGGAAACUGGGGUUAAUACCGGAUAGGAGCUCCUGCUGCAUGGUGGGGGUUGGAAAGUUUCGGCGGUUGGGGAUGGACUCGCGGCUUAUCAGCUUGUUGGUGGGGUAGUGGCUUACCAAGGCUUUGACGGGUAGCCGGCCUGAGAGGGUGACCGGCCACAUUGGGACUGAGAUACGGCCCAGACUCCUACGGGAGGCAGCAGUGGGGAAUAUGGCACAAUGGGCGGAAGCCUGAUGCAGCAACGCCGCGUGCGGGAUGACGGCCUUCGGGUUGUAAACCGCUUUCGCCUGUGACGAAGCGUGAGUGACGGUAAUGGGUAAAGAAGCACCGGCUAACUACGUG
rnacentral:rRNA from 1 species